rnacentral:rRNA from 1 species
UGAGGAAUAUUGGUCAAUGGGUGCAAGCCUGAACCAGCCAUCCCGCGUGAAGGACGACUGCCCUAUGGGUUGUAAACUUCUUUUGUAUAGGGAUAAACCUACCCUCGAGAGGGUAGCUGAAGGUACUAUACGAAUAAGCACCGGCUAACUCCGUGCCAGCAGCCGCGGUAAUACGGAGGGUGCAAGCGUUAUCCGGAUUUAUUGGGUUUAAAGGGUCCGUAGGCGGACUUAUAAGUCAGUGGUGAAAGCCUGUCGCUUAACGAUAGAACUGCCAUUGAUACUGUAAGUCUUGAGUAUAUUUGAGGUAGCUGGAAUAAGUAGUGUAGCGGUGAAAUGCAUAGAUAUUACUUAGAACACCAAUUGCGAAGGCAGGUUACCAAGAUAUAACUGACGCUGAGGGACGAAAGCGUGGGGAGCGAACAGG